AUUGAACGCUGGCGGCAUGCUUUACACAUGCAAGUCGAACGGCAGCGGGGUAGUGCUUGCACUACUGCCGGCGAGUGGCGAACGGGUGAGUAAUAUAUCGGAACGUACCGAGUAAUGGGGGAUAACCAAUCGAAAGAUUGGCUAAUACCGCAUACGUCCUGAGGGAGAAAGCGGGGGAUCGCAAGACCUCGCGUUAUUCGAGCGGCCGAUAACUGAUUAGCUAGUUGGUGGGGUAAAGGCCUACCAAGGCGACGAUCAGUAGCGGGUCUGAGAGGACGAUCCGGCACACUGGGACUGAGACACGGCCCAGACUCCUACGGGAGGCAGCAGUGGGGAAUUUUGGACAAUGGGGGCAACCCUGAUCCAGCCAUGCCGCGUGUAUGAAGAAGGCCUUCGGGUUGUAAAGUACUUUUGUUAGGGAAGAAAAGGGAAGUGCUAAUACCACUUUUUGCUGACGGUACCUAAAGAAUAAGCACCGGCUAACUACGUG
rnacentral:rRNA from 1 species